GGGCACCUGCCAAUGGCUCCGGUUUGCACCAGGGCCUCCCCGCGCCCGCCGCGCCCAGUGUACCCUGCGUCGCAGCAUAAACUACCACCCCCAGUCCUAGCGCCACUCCCCGUCCCGCCCCCCGCUAGCCCCGCGACCCCAGUUCCCCACUCCGUGUCUUCCGUGCCUCCUGCGCCCCCAAGUGGUUCCCGCGCCCCAGUGCCUCCUACGUCCCUGGGCCCUGCGCCACCCCGGGGCUGUGUUGCGAUGGAUGGUGGCCCAGCGCCCGCUGCCGGCCUUAUGCGGAGCUGCAGUCAGCCGCCCUGCCUCAGGCGGCCCCCCACCCUGGGUCCUGCCUCCCUCGCAAACCCCAGCCCCUGUGGUGAACCGUGUGUGCUGGGCACUUGGGCGGAGGUCCCGCUCGCCUGCCCAUCCCCAGGAGCAGAAGAGCUGCACAAAGGACCCCCAGCGGAGGAACUAGGAGCCCAGGCCUCCACUUUGUCGGACCAGUCCAUCUCGCACGUUUCCUUGUGCUCGCGAUUCAUCCUGGGGAGAGCGGGCAGGGCCUGCUGUCUGUGCGGGAGCUCCUGAAUGUUCCGGAUGAGGUCUGCCUCCUGGGGAAGAAUACCCCCGUCCCUGGUAUGAAUGCUGCCACGGCCUGGGCCCUGACUCACCCCCACGUGGGAGCCAUAAUGGGGCAGGGGGCAGAGCAGGAACCCUGGACCCGGAGCUAAGUCACGCACAAGGUCGGGGUGCUGGCGGCGCUCCCGGCACUGCAGGUUGUCGGUGGCUAUGGAGAAGGGCACGGCCGUGGCAUCCAAGGUGCGCUCCAGCCGCUGCUUCUGGGCCAGCAGCAGGUCAGUCUCUGCGACCA